AAUGACGUUUCGCAUGCGUGGCGUGCGUGUCUAUGAGAGGUGUCCACGGACGCGGAUUAGCUAAUGAACGCGACAGUAGCGAGUUUGCAAUAGAUUUUUGUUUGACGAGUUCAUCAUUUGGGGUCCCACCAAGAGCCAAAUCGGGUAGUGAUAUGAUUAGGAAGGUUUCCAGUUUGGGCUUUGGCUUGGAGUUCUUGAAAUUUUCUAAUCUAGAGUUCCAAGAUCUGUUUAAAUUAGUUUCUUUGUAAAUUCAAGUCAAAGAUAGCUUCUAAGUUUUGCUGGGUUUGCAAGUUACCAUAUUGAAAAGUGCAGUUUUUUUUUUAACAGCCAAUCUAAGUUGAUUUCUUUCCAAUUUUAGAUUGUGUUAAUUUUCUGAUUUCAGGAAAAUUUUACAUGAAUUUAUGCAUGUUCUGGGAUGUUUUAUGUUUAGAAAGUCAUGUUAUGGCAGUAAAUUGAGUAAGGGUUGUUUUGGACUCUGACAAUUGGGCUUUGGGAGGUUUGCUAAUUGCACAUGCGUCUGGGGCCUCAGUUUUGCAUUUUUGGAUGUGCAUUAUUCAUUGGCUCUGAUUCUGUUUCUCAGGUUCUCUUGAGCCUCCUGGAUCACUUAUUUCAAGCAGCAUUGUUGGGAUAACUCAGGGAUGACCUGCUACACGAAUGGCAUUGAAUAUGUUAAGGGCCGAUAUGCAUUGCUUUUACUACCUGCUUUUACUACCUGCUGGGCUUUUCAAUGGUUGGCAAUUGCUUUACAUAGACAUUAGCCCUGUGCUGAUAUAGCUGUAGCUUAAAAAUCUUAUCUAAUGCAGUGUGUCUGGAGAUGGGCAUUGGAUUUUUUCAAGAACUCACAACAACAAAAUUUGCAUUGUUGGGAGACUUAAAAAAGAUGUUUUAUUUGUAGCUCAUCAGAUGAUCUUGAUAUGUGAUUAAGCAGAGAUGUUUUGAUUAUGAGGAAUCUUUCUAUUCAGCUGUCAGUGAUACCCUGGAGAAGUAUACUUUAUAUGCUUCUUGUUUUACUUGUUGACUUGUCAUAAUGAAUAAAGUAGAUACCAUUUAAUUAGUUGGGCUUCUUUUGUUUUCUGUUUGGAUGAGUUUGUAAACUCCGAAGGAAUUAGUUUUUAUGUUUAUGCAAUUAAGAAAUAGACAACUAUUGGGACACCAGAACAAGGAAGUAAUGUUGCAUAUGAUGUGUUUGAUUGAUUGCCUGUAUGAAUUUAGUAGGUUUAGUUGACUAAUUUUUGCUUAUCUAUUUGAUGCAUAUUUUGUAUUCCAUAAACUAAUUGGAGUGCAACACACCCGUUUCCUUUUUUGGUGCAUUGUGAUCAAAUUGCUCAUGUGGCAAGGUUUGGACCAUUCAGCAGCUUGAGGUAAAUACACAUUGAUUUGUUGUUGUUAUUCUAUAUCUUUUUACAGGAUACUGCUAUUGGCAUCAACAAUUGUCGGCUGGAAUUAAGUUUGUUAUUGUCUCUUAAACUGGAUGGGGGUUGCUCAUAUAUGGAGGCUUCAAGACUUUCUUUGGAGGCAAGAAAGACAGAAAGAAGAUGUAAUUCUUUACACUGAUGACUGCAAGUCUCUGUCUAUAUUUCUGAAUAGGUUAUGCUCUGAUGUCGGAUAUUAACAAUACAGCCUCUCUGAUUGUAAGGAGCAGAUUUAGUUCAUCACUUCUAUUGGCUCAUCUAAUUAGUUGAACUCAUUAGACUUGCUGAAACAAUCUAAUAGACCUGUACUUGGGUUGAGUUAGUUGGCCAUGCAUUUUUUAAAUUAUAUAUAAACUAGAGAAAACCUGUUUCAAUAUUUUAAACAGGGAGGACAUAACUUGAUUAGAUGGUGCUGUGUUGACUU